CUCAGAUCCAACCUACCAGCACCCAUCAUUUAAGGACCGGGUGCAGCUGGUGGACAGAGAGCUGAAGGACGGAGACGUGUCUUUAAUUCUGAAGAACGUGAGCAGCAACGACGCUGGAACAUACGAGUGUCGAGUUGCAGCAAGUGAGUCAAGUGAGAAAGCUGUCAUUGAGACGGAGCCAAUCAGAAUCUACCAGCUGGAGGUUUCAGGGUCCAACAGCGGAGACGUCGAGGAGGGAAACUACAGACAUUACUACGGACUGGGAGCAGCUUUUGUUCUGGUUUGUUUAGCUGCUGUUGUUGGCUGGAAAUAUAAAAGGAGGAGCCGUGAGCGAAUGUAGCCGAUGUAUUAAUGUGAUAGUUUGGAGGUUUAUAGCUUCCAGUUUGCUCUUCUGUUAAUGUUGUGUUGUUUCUUUUAUGUGUAUACCUGCUAUGUAUACAGUUUAUUUUUGGGGAGUUUUAUUUCGUUAAUUGUGGGACUUUAGCUUUGACCUUGGACACUUUGGUAACUGUGGGGAGAAUUGAACAAAUAAAUGAAAUACAACA